rnacentral:rRNA from 1 species
CCUACGGGAGGCAGCAGUGGGGAAUAUUGGGCAAUGGGCGCAAGCCUGACCCAGCAACGCCGCGUGAAGGAAGAAGGCUUUCGGGUUGUAAACCUCUUUUCUGGGGGACGAACAAAUGACGGUACCCCAGGAAUAAGCCACGGCUAACCAUGGGCCAGCAGCCGCGGUAAUGUGGUGGUGGCAAGGGUUAUCCGGUUAUAUUGGGUGUAAAGGGCGUGGGGGCGGGAAUGCAAGUCAGAUGUGAAAACUCAGGGCUGAAACCUGAGCCUGCCUUUGAAACUGUGUUUCUUGAGUGCUGGAGAGGAAAGCGGAAUUCCGGGUGUAGCGGUGAAAUGCGUAGAUAUACGGAGGAACACCAGUGGCGAAGGCGGAUUGCUGGACAGUAACUGACGCUGAGGCACGAAAGCGUGGGGAGCAAACAGGAUUAGAUACCCGUGUAGUC